GUUUAUUUUUAGUUUGAAGGUUUCACAAAGCAGAUCGUUGGCUAAGGUGUGGAUAAAAUGUUGAAAAAUUUUCUGAUUGGCUUUUUGGCCAUACUCUUUUUGGGCUUAGUGUUAUCCACGCCCAUGAUGGUGGACCGUAGAGCCGAUGCUGGAUUUAAAGUUAUGCAGCUUGCUGGCCAUCGUGGUGGUCGUGGUGGCUGUGGUAAUCGCACUUCCACUGUAGCUCCCUCCACUUCAACUGCGGCUACUGGUUAAGGAUUUUUCGCAACUACUAACAUUACUUUGCUUCUUUGCUGAUAUCGGUGUAAAUGUUUCUUUUUUUUAAUAAGUAUAUAGACAAAUAAAAACUACAAGGGGAAUGUA
rnacentral:sRNA from 1 species